UACGGUCACAUCACAUUAAAGCACCGGUUCCCGAAAUUAAGCCACAUCGAGCCUGGCCAGUACUUAGAUGGGUGACCACUUGGGAAUACAAGGUGAUGC